rnacentral:rRNA from 1 species
UUAAGCGACUAAGCGUACACGGUGGAUGCCCUGGCAGUCAGAGGCGAUGAAGGACGUGCUAAUCUGCGAAAAGCGUCGGUAAGGUGAUAUGAACCGUUACAGCCGGCGAUGUCCGAAUGGGGAAACCCAGUGUGAUUCGUCACACUAUCGUUAACUGAAUACAUAGGUUAACGAGGCGAACCGGGGGAACUGAAACAUCUAAGUACCCCGAGGAAAAGAAAUCAACCGAGAUUCCCCCAGUAGCGGCGAGCGAACGGGGAGCAGCCCAGAGUCUGAAUCAGCUUGUGUGUUAGUGGAACGGUCUGGAAAGUCCGACGGUACAGGGUGAUAGUCCCGUACACCAAAAUGCACAGGNUGUGAACUCGAAGAGUAGGGCGGGACACGUGGUAUCCUGUCUGAAUAUGGGGGGACCAUCCUCCAAGGCUAAAUACUCCUGACUGACCGAUAGUGAACCAGUACCGUGAGGGAAAGGCGAAAAGAACCCCGGCGAGGGGAGUGAAAAAGAACCUGAAACCGUGUACGUACAAGCAGUGGGAGCACCUUCGGGUGUGACUGCGUACCUUUUGUAUAAUGGGUCAGCGACUUAUAUUCUGUAGCAAGGUUAACCGUAUAGGGGAGCCGCAGGGAAACCGAGUCUUAACUGGGCGUUAAGUUGCAGGGUAUAGACCCGAAACCCGGUGAUCUAGCCAUGGGCAGGUUGAAGGUUGGGUAACACUAACUGGAGGACCGAACCGACUAAUGUUGAAAAAUUAGCGGAUGACUUGUGGCUGGGGGUGAAAGGCCAAUCAAACCGGGAGAUAGCUGGUUCUCCCCGAAAGCUAUUUAGGUAGCGCCUCGUGAACUCAUCUUCGGGGGUAGAGCACUGUUUCGGCUAGGGGGUCAUCCCGACUUACCAACCCGAUGCAAACUACGAAUACCGAAGAAUGUUAUCACGGGAGACACACGGCGGGUGCUAACGUCCGUCGUGAAGAGGGAAACAACCCAGACCGCCAGCUAAGGUCCCAAAGUCAUGGUUAAGUGGGAAACGAUGUGGGAAGGCACAGACAGCCAGGAUGUUGGCUUAGAAGCAGCCAUCAUUUAAAGAAAGCGUAAUAGCUCACUGGUCGAGUCGGCCUGCGCGGAAGAUGUAACGGGGCUAAACCAUGCACCGAAGCUGCGGCAGCGACACUAUGUGUUGUUGGGUAGGGGAGCGUUCUGUAAGCCUGCGAAGGUGUGCUGUGAGGCAUGCUGGAGGUAUCAGAAGUGCGAAUGCUGACAUAAGUAACGAUAAAGCGGGUGAAAAGCCCGCUCGCCGGAAGACCAAGGGUUCCUGUCCAACGUUAAUCGGGGCAGGGUGAGUCGACCCCUAAGGCGAGGCCGAAAGGCGUAGUCGAUGGGAAACAGGUUAAUAUUCCUGUACUUGGUGUUACUGCGAAGGGGGGACGGAGAAGGCUAUGUUAGCCGGGCGACGGUUGUCCCGGUUUAAGCAUGUAGGCUGAUUGUCCAGGCAAAUCCGGAUAAUCAAGGCUGAGGUGUGAUGACGAGGCACUACGGUGCUGAAGUAACAAAUGCCCUGCUUCCAGGAAAAGCCUCUAAGCAUCAGGUAACAUUAAAUCGUACCCCAAACCGACACAGGUGGUCAGGUAGAGAAUACCAAGGCGCUUGAGAGAACUCGGGUGAAGGAACUAGGCAAAAUGGUGCCGUAACUUCGGGAGAAGGCACGCUGGUGUGUAGGUGAAGNUGGAGCUGAGACCAGUCGAAGAUACCAGCUGGCUGCAACUGUUUAUUAAAAACACAGCACUGUGCAAACACGAAAGUGGACGUAUACGGUGUGACGCCUGCCCGGUGCCGGAAGGUUAAUUGAUGGGGUUAUCCGUAAGGAGAAGCUCUUGAUCGAAGCCCCGGUAAACGGCGGCCGUAACUAUAACGGUCCUAAGGUAGCGAAAUUCCUUGUCGGGUAAGUUCCGACCUGCACGAAUGGCGUAAUGAUGGCCAGGCUGUCUCCACCCGAGACUCAGUGAAAUUGAACUCGCUGUGAAGAUGCAGUGUACCCGCGGCAAGACGGAAAGACCCCGUGAACCUUUACUAUAGCUUGACACUGAACAUUGAGCCUUGAUGUGUAGGAUAGGUGGGAGGCUUUGAAGCGUGGACGCCAGUCUGCGUGGAGCCAACCUUGAAAUACCACCCUUUAAUGUUUGAUGUUCUAACGUUGGCCCCUUACCGGGGUUGCGGACAGUGUCUGGUGGGUAGUUUGACUGGGGCGGUCUCCUCCCAAAGCGUAACGGAGGAGCACGAAGGUUAGCUAAUCCUGGUCGGACAUCAGGAGGUUAGUGCAAUGGCAUAAGCUAGCUUGACUGCGAGCGUGACGGCGCGAGCAGGUGCGAAAGCAGGUCAUAGUGAUCCGGUGGUUCUGAAUGGAAGGGCCAUCGCUCAACGGAUAAAAGGUACUCCGGGGAUAACAGGCUGAUACCGCCCAAGAGUUCAUAUCGACGGCGGUGUUUGGCACCUCGAUGUCGGCUCAUCACAUCCUGGGGCUGAAGUAGGUCCCAAGGGUAUGGCUGUUCGCCAUUUAAAGUGGUACGCGAGCUGGGUUUAGAACGUCGUGAGACAGUUCGGUCCCUAUCUGCCGUGGGCGCUGGAGAAUUGAGGGGGGCUGCUCCUAGUACGAGAGGACCGGAGUGGACGCAUCACUGGUGUUCGGGUUGUCAUGCCAAUGGCACUGCCCGGUAGCUAAAUGCGGAAGAGAUAAGUGCUGAAAGCAUCUAAGCACGAAACUUGCCCCGAGAUGAGUUCUCCCUGAGACUUUAAGUCUCCUGAAGGAACGUUGAAGACGACGACGUUGAUAGGCCGGGUGUGUAAGCGCAGCGAUGCGUUGAGCUAACCGGUACUAAUGAACCGUGAGGCUUAACCUU